CGUCUGGUAUAUUUUUUUCAUGGUGAGGAGAGUAAAUGAGUUCAGUUGUUAGUAACAUUUAUUCUCAUUUGCCUACUGUGAGGGAAUGACAGUUUGACUAUUGAUAAUGUUACUGGAUUGAUGCAGCUCAAUAUGAUGUCCAUCCAGAAAUUAGUGUGAGAGCUAGAAAUCUGUAUCUUCUCACGGAUUCUUCUGUAGACUGAGAAAUAGUCAUGUUAUCACAAAGAGGUUUUAUUCUUGAUGUCCAGUUGUUUCACAAAGUUUGUAAGCUCUUGCGUUUCUUUUUAACUACAAAGUGAUGCAAGAAGUGAUACAAAUGAAUGUCAAUAGGCAUAUUGUACAAGAAGCUUUGUAAUGUAUUUUAAAAUCAUUUGAUUAUUCUGGUUCUGGUAUGAUGUAUCAAUGUUUACAAGGUUGAAUUUAGACCGGCACAGUGGUAUAGUUAAUUUUUUAUAAAUUCAAAUUCAGAGUUGAAGAUUUGUGUAGCAUUGUGUGAAGCAGUGUUGGGAUUUUGCUCUUUCCCAGUUCAUACUUUUCUGCGGUAUGCAUUGUGUGAACAGAAUAAUUUUCUUAUGUUGUACACUACCCAUUCAUAAUUUUUGUGCAUUGGGUAUAUUUCCUUUGCUUCUAAUUUAUUAGAUGAAAAAUAGGAUUUCAAUUUUUUCCAGGGAAUUAAAAAGUCUUCGCUGGCAGGUGGCGCUGUUGGUGAUGGUGACGGUAGCGAUGUAGGGUAAGAUGUAUUAGACAACGACACCCAUCUUUUGGAUGACUGUAUACACUCACAAAUUUCUCAGUCACUAGAAUAAUUUCUUGUCCCUUAAAUUCAGUCUAGAUGAUUUUUGUUUUUGGUAAUUUUAUACUUUUUUCUCUCCUUUUUUCAUUGUUUUCUGUUGGUUUCUAGUUUAAAGUGUUUAAGGCUAUUUAGAAUUCUUUUUUCUAAUUUCUUAAGCAAUUUUGUUUUGUCUUAAAAAAAAACUUUUUGCAUUCAAGCCCUCCACCAUGUUUCACAUGCCUUCUAGGUUUUGUCAAGUAAACAGACUAUGCAAAAUUCAUUUUAGUUUAGCUUUCUGGUGUUUUCUGGGCACUGCAUGUUCAUGGAAAUUUACAAGUUUGAUCUUCACUCUUGUGACUUAGUUUUGUUAUUGGACAGUAAAAUCUCUAGAAUGUGAUUCAUAUAACAGGAAAUGCAACCUUGUGGUUCUAGCCUUGAGAGGAGUUGUGCUUGUGAAUAUGAUUAACUUUGUCCUACUGCAAAGAAUUGACAACUUCCAUGGCUGUUGAUGCAACAUUAGACAUUUGAGGCAACGAACAGUGCUCAUGGUGACUGCCAGCCAGAUGAUUGCAGAGGAGGAAUCUGCUUUCAAGAACUCCAUUGCCACUAGACGAGAAGGAAGUUAGGAUGGUGAAUGCAAGACAAAAUGGUGUCUUUAAUUGAUGGUACCUGUGUUUGAUGUUCAUCUUUGGUUCAUCAUUGUCACUCAUCUGGUGCUGUAAGUACAAUCACUGCACAAAUAAUUUAUUUGUGCAUGAUUGGCUGUGAAUGUGUACAUAAUUUGUACAUAUGUUCUUAUUUACAAGAAAAUAAAUGUGGAAAUUCAA
rnacentral:lncRNA from 1 species